rnacentral:rRNA from 1 species
UCGCAUCUGUGCAUGCAGCAUAUCAAUAAGCGGAGGAAAAGAAACUAACAAGGAUUCCCCUAGGUAACGGCGAGUGAAGCGGGAAGAGCUCAAAUUUGAAAUCUUAAAGGGUUUCCCUUUACGAAUUGUAGUUUAAAGAAGUGUUUUCUGUUGAGGUUUUGGUAAAAGUUCUUUGGAAUAGGACAUCAUAGAGGGUGAGAAUCCCGUAUUUGACCUUUACUUUCAACUUUGUGAUACACUUUCAAAGAGUCGGAUUGUUUGGGAAUGCAGUCCAAAAUGGGUGGUAAAUUUCAUCUAAAGCUAAAUAUUGGCGAGAGACCGAUAGCGAACAAGUACCGUGAGGGAAAGAUGAAAAGAACUUUGAAAAGAGAGUUAAACAGUACGUGAAAUUGUCAAAAGGGAAGCGUUUGACACCAGUGUUGUUUUUUCUGAAAAUCAAUUAAAGAACUGUUUAUGCUAAGCUGUUUAGACUUUAUCAGCUAUCUGUUUAGUUUUGAGCUUUUCUUUAAUGCACUUUUCAGUUAACAAGUCAACAUCAAUUUCUUUUGCUGUAAAAAAGCUUGAGGAAGGUGGCUUGAGAUUCGUCUUAAGUGUUUAUAGCCUCUUGCCUAUGCAGUCGGAGAGAUUGAGGUCUGCAGCGUAGAUCCUUCGGGGCUAAAUGCAUUUGUGCUAAGUUAUAGCAUUUUAUAGACAACUUGUUGACUAUGAUUUGUCUUGUAGCUUACUCGCUUAUGUUAUUUUACCUACGCUUAGGAUGUUGAAUCUGUGCGAGACUAC